rnacentral:rRNA from 1 species
UUUAUUGGAGAGUUUGAUCCUGGCUCAGGACGAACGCUGGCGGCAUGCCUAAUACAUGCAAGUCGAGCGGACUUGAAGAGAAGCUUGCUUCUCUGAUGGUUAGCGGCGGACGGGUGAGUAACACGUAGGCAACCUGCCCUCAAGUUUGGGACAACUACCGGAAACGGUAGCUAAU